rnacentral:rRNA from 1 species
AUUGAACGCUGGCGGCAGGCCUAACACAUGCAAGUCGAACGAGUGGCGGACGGGUGAGUAAUGUAAGGGAAACUGUCCGAUGGAGGGGGAAAACAAAUGGAAAAGGUAGCGAAUACCGCAUACUAUCGGAGGUGCCCAGAUGGGUUUAGCUAGUGGGUGGGUUAAAGGCUCACCCAGGCGACGAUCCCUAGCGGGUCUGAGAGGAGGACCAGCCACACUGGAACUGGGACACGGUCCAGACGCCUACGGGAGGCAGCAGUGGGGAAUAUUGCACAAUGGGCGAAACCCUGAUGUAGCCAUGCCGCGUGUAUGAAGAAGUCCUUCGGGUUGUAAAGUACUUUCAGCGGGGAGGCGUUACUCGCAGAAGAAGCACCGGCUAACUCCGUGCCAGCAGCCGCGGUAAUAC